AGAAAAUGAGUUUCCCAGUCAUUUUAUCAGCUGGAAUUAAAUGCAAGUUACCAAGAUUAAUAAAACGGAUACAAAGUCUUGUUGGUAAACUUCAAUAAUUCAGUAUUAAUUCUCCACAUUAAUUACUAACCUGCAAAGAGCAGAGAGAGAGGGGUGCUGGAGCUUGGGUUUCCACAUCCUCUAUGACAGACAUAGGCAACCUUCGGCACUCCAGAUGUUUUGGACUACACC